rnacentral:tRNA from 1 species
GUCUCAGUAGCGUAGUAGUUAACGCACGACCCCGACUACGCGGGUUCGAAUCCCGCCUGAGAUA